AAUUUUUUAAUAUUAUCGUUAAAUACACGCUAAAUCGAUCAAUUCUUGGUCGAAAUUUUAUACACAUUAAAAAAAAAACUUCGGUACUCUAAUUUGCCAAAAAUAAAAAUUCUUCAUAUAAUUUUUAAAUCAUGUUCAUGAUGUGUCUGAAGAAUACAUCAAAUAAUUGAGUGAAGAAUGUUUUCGAUAGUACAAUUAACAUUUUCCAAAAGUUUUUGGUAAUUUUUUUACGAACAAUUGGACCUGUCAAAUAUUCGUGUCUGAGUCUCUCAUGACUGUCAGGAAUUGAACGAUUUAGUAUGAAAUGUUCAAUGUGUAUAUUGACUCUUUGAUGUAGGUCAUGAAGACUACAGCAGGAUAUCUAUCACUGUUAAGAACUGUUAUGUAAUCCAGAGGAUGUACACCAUUUGAGUAUGUAAUAGGACGCUUGUAGUGUGAAAUUGAUAUAAAUCUCACUUUUCGUUAAAUCAUUUCACUCAAACGAAACAAAUCCACUCUGGACUCAAAUUUAUUCGAGUAACAAAGGGCGAAUGUCAACGUCAGAAGUGUCUCUUCCGUAAUUUUUUUUGUUCUCCAUAAUCAAAAUCAAAAAAUUUUCAUGACAGUCUUUCGUGUGCCAUUUACUUGAAGUUGAAGGCGUCCACGCAGAUGGCAAAACAGCUAACAAAUAAUCGCAUUGGGUGAAAAAAAAUCAAAACUCAUAUCUCGUAGUCACGUGCGUUCAAGAAAAAAAAGCGACGUCUCGAGUCGCCUCCGAGCGCUAUAAGAUAAUUACAUAAUCCAGCAGAACUGACUUUCUGGUCUGUCUGGUAAAUGACCACCAAUUGUAACAUCAUAGUAUGGGAAAAACUGCGAAAUGGGGGACAGAAAAAUUGUCAUUGCAGACAAGUCAAUAAUAGAAGGCUGAGCGAUCUGUAAGCGACAUGGCAGACGAUGCGGCCUUUUGGAAAAAAUCAUUAAAAAAUUUUGAGCGGAUGAAAUGGAUGAUGUCCAAUAUCGGUAUCGAAACGAGUACCUGGGGUGUGCGGUUUUACGUGUCAUUAUUUGGUGUCGUCUAUCAAGUGAUCAUGACAUAUACUAAUCUCUUUGUUAACAUCAAUGAUAUUGAGUAUGUUUUAGCUAUUUUGAUGGAUAGCGUAGGUCUCCUCACCUCGGCCUUCUGUCUCGGAUCUUUGAGCUAUUACAAUGACAGCAUAAUCACCAUAAUCGAAGUUAUGAAAAAUCAGUGCCAUCCGAGACACUACAAACAUGCCAAGGAGAGAGAAGUAUUGGAAAAAUAUAAUCUCGUUAUUGAUACAUUAUUUACAAUAGCUACCUAUUACUUGGUACCCUAUCUGUGCUUAGUCUGCAUAAUACCAGUUUUAUCACGUUUGUCAGAUGCUUCGUCUGUCGAUUCCAGUGUCAACUCCAGUGUUACGAGCUCAUCAAAAACCUAUCCCCUACCAUUGGACCUCUAUCAACUCUACCAUAUCAACAAUGAAUGGACAUAUUUUUUGUCGUUUAUAUUUAUAGCACUACUGUUGGUAAACAACACUUUCAUUCGCGUGAAUAUCGAUUUUUUAUAUAUUCUCACGAUAUUUCAUCUGUGUGGACAAAUAUCGUUGUUGUCAUCUCGAAUUGAGAAUCUAUCAACCAGUGAUCCCCGUGCUUUGCAAAAAGACCUUGGACUAGUUAUAAAUCAUCAUAACCAGAUCAUCUGGAUGAACAAAAGGAUUAGCAGCAUAUUUAGUUUUUAUUUGGCGGCAUUUCUAUUAACUUCAACAUUCCUCCUGUGCUUGACCAAUUACCAAGGGCUAGUUAACAUGCAGCGUGGUAAUUACGUCGUGGGCACCAGAUGUUUUGUAUGUACAUUUGUUAUUUCGGGAAUGGUCUUUGUUAACUGUCUGCUUGGAAACUUUCUUGUUGUUGAGAGUCGGAACUUGGAGAGAGCAUUCUACGAUUGUCUAUGGUACAAUGCUCCAGCCGCUUUCCAGAGAAUAAUUUUAAUGUGUCUUAAACAAUCCCAGACUUCAUUAAAUUUGAAUGCAGGAGGCUUUACGAUCGUCAGUCUGGCUACAUUAACAGCAGUCAUGAAAACUAGCGUAGGAUAUCUGUCGUUACUACGCGCUGUUAUCUAAUCAACGUAAUGCAGUGGAUGACAACCCAGAAAAAAAAAGGAUUCACUUUGCAACCAUUGCAACUUCUUGAAAAUAUGGACCGGAUUAUGUCUACUAUUGAUGCCGAAACUAAUACAUUUCUAUGCCAUUAUUUUUGCACGUUCUUACUAAAGUUUUGUGGUUUUUUUUUUAAUUUGAUAAAAACUUGCAUUAAAUGAUGAUAUAGUGAAAAAAAAUAUCCUUUUUCGUGUCCAUCUCACCAACCAAUUUACCAAAAACAUGACGAGUCGAGAGAUAUGGGCUUGGGAUAUAAGUCCCUUAUUUUCGCUGAAAAUAUUAGUUUGGAAUUUAUUGAAACUAAUUAAAUAAGUUGCGAUGAGCUGGCCACGAAGGAGUAUUCAGUAAUUAAUUGGAAUGAUAGAUUGUACCGUAAUAAGGGGAGUUGAACCGGAAUGUAAAUUGUGAACGUUGGGACUUUCCCUUCUUAAACAUUCCGGAGAGUUCAAUGCCAGCUAAGGAAGUGUCUAACGAUCUCCUCCAUUCUUCAGCCGAUAGGAAUCGUUGUAUUACCUUCAGGUGUAUUGAUUUCGUGAAAUUAAGUAAUCUAAUCAACGACGAGACCUACAGCUUCUAAUCUCGAUUUUUGGAGUACUAUAGUACUUUUAGGAGCUGCUGUGGGCAGUAGAUUGGAAGGAUAAAUAAACA